AGUUCGAUUAUGGCUCAGAUUGAACGCUGGCGUGGCGUUUUUACACAUGCAAGUCGAACGGCAGCACGGACUUCGGUCUGGUGGCGAGUGGCGAACGGGUGAGUAAUGUAUCGAACGUGCCUAGUAGCGGGGAUAACUACGCGAAAGCGUAGCUAAUACCGCAUACGUUCCUCGGGGGAAAGCGGGGAUCUUCACGCACCAUUAGAGCGGGCUGAUAUCGGAUUAGCUAGUUGGUGGGGUAACGGCUCACCAAGGCGACGAUCCGUAGCUGGUUUGAGAGGACGACCAGCCACACUGGGACUGAGACACGGCCCAGACUCCUACGGGAGGCAGCAGUGGGGAAUUUUGGACAAUGGGGAAACCCUGAUCCGCCUAAUAUCCCGCGUGUGCGCGAUGAAGGCCUUCGUAAAGCACUUUUUGGCAGGGGAAGAAACGGCACGGAUAAUACCCCGUGCGACGGUACCUGCAGAAUAAGCACCUGGGCCGGGUUCACGCGCCAGCAGCCGCGUAAUACGUAGGGUGCAAGCGUUAAUCGGAAUUACUGGGCGUAAAAACGUGCGCAGGCGGUUCGGAAAGAAAGAUGUGAAAUCCCCCAGAGCUUAACUUUGAACUGCAUUUUUAACUACCGAGCUAGAGUGUGUCAGAGGAGGUGGAAUUCCCGCGUGUAGCAGUGGAAAUGUGCAGAUAUGAGAACACCGAUGGCGAAGGCAGCCUCCGGGAUAACACUGACGUCAUGCACGAAAGCGUGGGGAGCAAACAGGAUUAGAUACCUCUGGUAGUCCACGCCCUAAACGAUGUCAAUCUGAAGCUGUUGGGGCCUUCGGGCCUUGGUAGCGCAGCUAACGCGUGAAGCUGACCGCCUGGGGAGUACGGUCGCAAGAUUAAAACUCAAAGGAAUUGACGGGGACCCGCACAAGCGGUGGAUGAUGUGGAUUAAUUCGAUGCAACGCGAAAAAACUCACUCUACCCUUUGACAUGUCUGGAAUCCUGAAGAGAUUUGGGAGUGCUCUCGUACAGAACCGAACACAGGUGCUGCAUGGUCAGCUGUCGUCAGCUCGUGUCGUGAGAUGCUGGUUAAGUCCUGCAACGAGCGCAACCCUUGUCAUUAGUUGCUACGAAAGGGCACUCGACGAGACUGCCGGUGACAAACCGGAGGAAGGUGGGGAUGACGUCAAGUCCUCAUGGCGUAGGUAGGGCUUCACACGUCAUACAAUGGUCGGGACAGAGGGUCGCCAACCCGCGAGGGGGGAGCCAAUCCCAGAAACCCGAUCGUAGUCCGGAUCGCAGUCUGCAACUCUCGACUGCGUGAAGUCGGAAUCGCUAGUAAUCGCGGAUCAGCAUGUCGCGGUGAAUACGUUCCCUGGCCUGUACACACCGCCCGUCACACCAUGGGGAGUGGGUUUUACCAGAAAGUGGUUAGCCUAACCGUAAGGAGGGCGAUUACCACGGUAGGAUUCAUGACUGGGGUGAAGUCGUAAUAAGGUAG
rnacentral:rRNA from 1 species